rnacentral:lncRNA from 1 species
CCAUCUCCACUACUAUAAAACAAUCCAACAAUAACUUUCUUAGGUGCACCCCGCAAUUACCCCCAGUAAAACAGCCGACCCAUUCAACACCGCUGGAUUACUCCCACGAAUCUGAAUCUAACAGCCAGAAUUGAUCCAAUACCGCUAUGGUGUGCACGUACCAAUUUCCAUUGACUGACCGUGCUUCACCUGGAGACUAGCGAAGCCUUCGUCCCCAGACAAUCGGGCAACUCCAAUCGCAUCUACUAAGGAAGGACGCAUAUCCUAAGGAAGGAAAGGAAUGAAUUGAUUCUCCUAGCCCAAUCGCGCAGGAGCCUCGCUGCCUUCCGUCACCACCGCGCCAACACCUUCUUCUCCGGCCGCCAACCUCGCGCCACUCCACCGCGCAGCCGCCUCCCUGCACGAUCGACGUAGCGGGCGCCAAGGAGGCUGCCCUGCCCCCUCGCAGUGUGGCACAAGGCUGCUAGAUCGCCAGUGCCCACGACCCCGCCCAGCACCCGCGCGGCCGCCCCCGCCCUGCACAGCCCCUGGACGGCUGGACCAGCUGUGAUUCUUCCCUGCACUCAAGAUUACAGGUUUUCAGAACAGAAGAACAAACAUUAAACAUACAAAAAAGGUAAGAUCGUAAAAGUAAGACAUUCAGAUGCCGUGCAAUUGCACAGCAUUUUACUAUACCUAGGGCACAGGAAAGAUAAAUCACGCCAGUUUACAUCAGUUUAUUAGAUGAAAGCUGAAACUAUCCCAGUUGCCUAUCUAUCACUGCCUCAUGCACUUCUGGGAAGUACAUGAACCCCACCUAAUGUAGCAAUUAUUGAAAGAGUGAUCAGCCAUCCUUUAAUGGCUUGAUUAAAAGAUUGAUCAGUCUGCAGUUUACAAAACCUCUAUUUUUGCUUCAUCCAAUCAUCUCAAAGUAAUCGAGCCCAAAGUUUUUUCAGAAACCAUGGUAUUUUCCUACUUCGUUUAUCUUCUUAUACGCAAUAAUAUACAUGCUAAUCUUCUUAUACACAUAUCUCCACUACUAUAAAACAAUCCAACAAUAACUUUCUUAGGUGCACCCUGCAAUUACCCCCAGCAAAACAGCCGACCCAUUCAACACCGCUGGAUUACUCCCACGAAUCUGAAUCUAACAGCCAGAAUUGAUCCAAUACCGCUAUGGUGUGCACGUACAAAUUUCCAUUGACUGACCGUGCUUCACCUGGAGACUAGCGAAGCCUUCGUCCCCAGACAAUCGGGCAACUCCAAUCGCAUCUACUAAGGAAGGACGCAUAUCCUAAGGAAGGAAAGGAAUGAAUUGAUUCUCCUAGCCCAAUCGCGCAGGAGCCUCGCUGCCUUCCGUCACCACCGCGCCAACACCUUCUUCUCCGGCCGCCAACCUCGCGCCACUCCACCGCGCAGCCGCCUCCCUGCACGAUCGACGUAGCGGGCGCCAAGGAGGCUGCCCUGCCCCCUCGCAGUGUGGCACAAGGCUGCUAGAUCGCCAGUGCCCACGACCCCGCCCAGCACCCGCGCGGCCGCCCCCGCCCUGCACAGCCCCUG